rnacentral:rRNA from 1 species
UGCGUAGGUGGUGAGGUAAGUCGGAUAUGAAAUCUCCGAGCUCAACUCGGAAAUGGCAUUGGAAACUACCUUGCUAGAGGGUUGGGAGGGGGGACUGGAAUACUUGGUGUAGCAGUGAAAUGCGUAGAUAUCAAGUGGAACACCAGUGGCGAAGGCGAGUCCCUGGACAACUCCUGACACUGAGGCACGAAAGCUAGGGAGCAAACA